rnacentral:rRNA from 1 species
AUUGAACGCUGGCGGCAUGCCUUACACAUGCAAGUCGAACGGCAGCACGGGAGCAAUCCUGGUGGCAAGUGGCGAACGGGUGAGUAAUAUAUCGGAACGUGCCCAGUAGUGGGGGAUAACUGCUCGAAAGAGCAGCUAAUACCGCAUACGACCUGAGGGUGAAAGCGGGGGAUCGCAAGACCUCGCGCUAUUGGAGCGGCCGAUAUCAGAUUAGCUAGUUGGUGAGGUAAGGGCUCACCAAGGCGACGAUCUGUAGCUGGUCUGAGAGGACGACCAGCCACACUGGGACUGAGACACGGCCCAGACUCCUACGGGAGGCAGCAGUGGGGAAUUUUGGACAAUGGGCGCAAGCCUGAUCCAGCCAUGCCGCGUGCGGGAAGAAGGCCUUCGGGUUGUAAACCGCUUUUGUCAGGGAAGAAACGGCUCCUACUAAUACUGGGGGCUAAUGACGGUACCUGAAGAAUAAGCACCGGCUAACUACGUGCCAGCCGCCGCCGUAA